rnacentral:misc_RNA from 1 species
AAAUCAACUCAACCACUUUUGUGUUUGGUCAUGGAGGAAGAGUCCGUCUUGUUGUGGUCUCCCCUCCCAAAAUCAACGGCGGAAGGUUGCUGGUACUCGGCGUAGUAGUAUUAUUCGCCCAUUAUCCAGUGUUGUUCCUGCCACCAAAUACCCACAAUUCUCUU